rnacentral:lncRNA from 1 species
AUUUCAUUUCGGAAAUCUAAAACAAAAAAUGGAUUUUGAAGACAAAAUAGAAAGAAAAGAAACUAUUUUGCAUCGCUCAAAAUUGACAACCAGUCAUACAGAAUUGCAUUAAGCAAUUUUCUCUAUUGGGUUAAGGGCAAGAUAUACAUGGGGAUCUAUAUAAUAGUUAUGAGAAAAUAAAGAGUUAGAAAGUUAGACAAAACAAAAAGGUUUCAAAAUAGAAUCAAUUAGUUUCAAUGAGUUCUUAACUUUUACUAAUUUCACUAAAGAUUUUUAUAUACGUUCUUCUAUA